rnacentral:misc_RNA from 1 species
GAUGAAGAACGCAGUGAAAUGCGAUACUUGGUGUGAAUUGCAGAAUCCCGUGAUCCAUCGAGUCUUUGAACGCAAGUUGCGCCCGAAGCCAUUAGGCCGAGGGCACGCCUGCCUGGGCGUCACACGUCGUUGCCCCCCCAUCUACUCCUUCGGGAUUGCGGGGGGCGGAUGAUGGCCUCCCGUGCGCCUCGUCGCGCGGUUGGCAUAAAUGCCAAGUCCUCGGCGACGCACGCCACGACAAUCGGUGGUUGCGAAACCUCGGUUGCCCGUCGUGUGCGGUCGUCGCGCAUCGAGGGCUCGAAAAAAUUGCCGGGCUCCGGCUCGGCUUUCAACGCGACCCCAGGUCAGGCGGGGUUACCCGCUGAAUUUAAGCAUAUCAAUAAGCGGAGGA